CACGUAGGCGGAUCGAUAAGUCGGGGGUGAAAGCCCGAGGCUCAACCUCGGAACUGCCUUCGAUACUGUCGAUCUGGAGUCCGGGAGAGGUGAGUGGAACUCCUAGUGUAGAGGUGAAAUUCGUAGAUAUUAGGAAGAACACCAGUGGCGAAGGCGGCUCACUGGCCCGGUACUGACGCUGAUGUGCGAAAGCGUGGGGAGCAAACA
rnacentral:rRNA from 1 species